AUUAGGAUUGCUGGGUUACAUGGUCACCCUGUGUUCACUUUUGGAAGAAUCAUCAAACUGUUUUUCACAGUGGCUGUACCAUUUUACAUUCCUACCAGCAAU
rnacentral:pre_miRNA from 1 species